rnacentral:rRNA from 1 species
AACGAACGCUGGCGGCAUGCCUAACACAUGCAAGUCGAACGAGACCUCCGGGACUAGUUGCGCACGGGUGCGUAACGCGUGGGAACCUGCCCUUAGGUUCGGAAUAACUCCCCGAAAGGGGUGCUAAUACCGGAUAAUGUCCUCGGACCAAAGAUUUAUCGCCUUUGGAUGGGCCCGCGUUGGAUUAGCUGGUUGGUAGGGUAAGAGCCUACCAAGGCGACGAUCCAUAGCUGGUCAGAGAGACAGGUCCGCCACACUGGGGCUGAGACACGGCCCAGAAUACUACGGGAGGCAGCAGUGGGGAAUAUUGGACAAUGGGCGAAGGCCUGAUCCAGCACUGCCGGGUGAGUGAUGAAGGCCUUAGGGUUGUAAAGCUCUUUUACCCGGUAUGAUAAUGACGGUACCGUGAGAAUAAGCUCCGGCUAACUCCGUG